rnacentral:rRNA from 1 species
GACGAACGCUGGCGGCGUGCUUAACACAUGCAAGUCGAGCGGAAAGACCCUGCUUUUGUGGGGUUCUCGAGUGGCGAACGGGUGUGUAACACAUGAGUAUCCUGCCCUUAACUUUGGGAUAUCUUCAGGAGACUGGGGCUAAUACCGGAUAGGAGCUCCUGCUGCAUGGGGGGGGUUGGAAAGUUUCGGCUGUAGUGGCUCGACUCGCGGCUUAUCAGCUUGUUGGUGGAGUAGUCGCGUACCACGCCUUUGACGGGUAGCCGGCAUGAGAGCGUGGACAGCGACAAUGCGACUGCGAGACGGAGCAGACGGCUACGGGAGGCAGUAGUGGAGAGUAUUACACAGUGGGCGGGCGUGUGAUACAAAGGCGUUGCGAGCGGAAUGAAGGCUUUCGGGUUAUAAACCGCUGUCGCAUGUGACGAAGCGGGAGUGACGGUAAUGAGUAAAGAAGCACCGGCUAACUACGUG